GUUGAUGUAGCUUAUACUAAAGCAGAGCACUGAAAAUGCUAAGAUGGACAUUAAGUCCCAUAAACA
ensembl:Mt_tRNA